rnacentral:misc_RNA from 1 species
GAUGAAGAACGCAGUGAAAUGCGAUAAGUAGUGUGAAUUGCAGAAUUCAGUGAAUCAUCGAAUCUUUGAACGCACAUUGCGCCCCUCGGUAUUCCGUGGGGCAUGCCUGUUCGAGCGUCAUCUACACCCUCAAGCUCUGCUUGGUGUUGGGCGUCUGUCCCGCCUCUGCGCGCGGACUCGCCCCAAAUUCAUUGGCAGCGGUCUUUGCCUCCUCUCGCGCAGCACAAUUGCGUCUGCGAGGGGGCGUGGCCCGCAUCCACGAAGCAACAUUACCGUCUUUGACCUCGGAUCAGGUAGGGAUACCCGCUGAACUUAAGCAUAUCAAUAAGCGGAGGA